AAAAAAAGCAGAAGACAAAUCUGCGUGUGUCUUGUCCCCAUGGGAGAAGCUGACGCUCACAUCCCUGCUGACCAGCACUGGCCAGUGGUUUCCUUGUAGCCCAGGAGCACGCGACUGCCUCAAGACAGCAAGAUCUAGAAGAUGGGGUGUCUCCCCAGUGCCCGGCACAGAACCCAGCCCAGAGUAGGCCCAUGUGUGCUGAGCAUCUUCUCCUGCGAGGGAGACCACGGUUAACCCCGGACCAGAGCCUUUGCUCCCCAACCUGCACCCUACUCCAGAGCCUGCCUGCCUUCAGCCACGAUGAGCAUCCUUGCGUCCCGAGGCCCCAUGGAGAAGCUCAGCGAGGAGAACAUAAUGCAUGGCCUGCACAACUGCCAAUAUUGCAGCCGAUUUCCAAGGAAAAUUGCCUCUAUCCAUCAGAGCGGCCCUGAGCCAGAUGCGCAUUAGUGAGGAAGACCCCG
rnacentral:lncRNA from 1 species